ACGGGGGGUGCAAGCGUUGUUCGGAAUCAUUGGGCGUAAAGCGCGCGCAGGCGGCUUGGUAAGUCAGAUGUGAAAUCCCUGGGCUUAACCCAGGAAGUGCAUUUGAUACUGCCUCGCUAGAGUACGGGAGAGGAAAGUGGAAUUCCUGGUGAAGAUGUGGAAGUCGUAGAUCUCAGGAGGAACACCGGUGGCGAAGGCGACUUUCUGGCCCGAUACUGACGCUUAUGCGCGAAAGCGUUGGGAGCAAACAG
rnacentral:rRNA from 1 species